rnacentral:tRNA from 1 species
GCAUUGGUUGUCUAGUGGUAUGAUGUCAUUCUUCUACGGUGGUGACGCGGGUUUGAUUCACGGCCAAUGCA